ACCUUGUUACGACUUCUCCUUCCUCUAAGUGUUAAGGUUCACAAAACUUCCCAUUUCGGGCACGAACGCGCCACAAAACGGUCCGAAUAAUUCACCGGAACACUCAAUCGGUAGGAGCGACGGGCGGUGUGUACAAAGGGCAGGGACGUAAUCGGCGCAAGCUGCUGACUUGCGCCUACUAGGCAUUCCUCGUUGAAGAUUAAUAAUUGCAAUAAUCUAUCCCCAUCACGAUGCAUACUCACAAGAUUACCUAGACCUAUCGGCCAAGGUUAUAAACUCGUUGGAUGCAUCAGUGUAGCGCGCGUGCAGCCCAGAACAUCUA
rnacentral:rRNA from 1 species